rnacentral:lncRNA from 1 species
UGUUCAGCACAGGGCCUAGAGCUUAACAGGUACCCACCAUGGGGUAGUUCACUGGACAGAAGAAAUCAGAAAGAGGGCUCAUCACACCCCCUCCCGGGCCCUGAGUGUAAUCUACAAGCUGGCACCAGCUCUGAAAUCCCCUCAUUUUCUUGAAACAUACAGAAAUGGAAACAUACAGAGAGGGCUCAGGGCAAGGCAGCCUUCACUCUGUGUCUGGUUCAUCCUUGUGCCUCGAGUGCCCGGUGCAGAGCAGGACUUGACCGAGCUUGGGAACGAGUGGCUGACCCCCACACUGGUAUGUGAGCCGAGCACUCAGCAUGCCUCCCCUCGGACAACACACGCUCUGUGAGUGUAGACGAUCAGAAGGCUUCGGGGAAAUCAAAAGCAGCUACUCAGGAAAGGCCAGGGCUCCGCUGGAGAGACCGCUCUCUGCGGGGCUGCUGGGCCCCCGGGCCGGUGAUUCAUGUCUCGCUUGCUCGGGGUGGGAGCACAGGCCGAGUAUGAGCUGAAUUCAUAAGACCUUCUCUGUUUUAUCUCACAGAUGUUUCUGGGAUGGAUGUGUCAAGGAAAAAAAAAAGGCUGAAGUUGAAAAAUUCCAACUCAGCACAUGUCCUCCAGCCCCUGGAGACGUGACAAGGGAUUAAAACGCCUUUCUCCUCAUUUGCCCAACAUCUCAGGAGAAAGCUAAAUUGCAUCCCCGUCAGGGCUGUUCUGGGCACCUGCUGGCUACGAAGACGACCUCCUCAUUAGCCCAGUUUUCCUCUGGAAACAAGCUCACAAAAACGGCGUUAUGGGUACAUGUGUGAAUGUGUGUG